rnacentral:rRNA from 1 species
AGUGAACGCUGGCGGUAGGCCUAACACAUGCAAGUCGAACGGCAGCACAGUAAGAGCUUGCUCUUACGGGUGGCGAGUGGCGGACGGGUGAGGAAUACAUCGGACUCUACUUUUUCGUGGGGGAUAACGUAGGGAAACUUACGCUAAUACCGCAUACGACCUACGGGUGGAAGCAGGGGAUCUUCGGACCUUGCGCGAUUGAAUGAGCCGAUGUCGGAUUAGCUAGUUGGCGGGGUAAAGGCCCACCAAGGCGACGAUCCGUAGCUGGUCUGAGAGGAUGAUCAGCCACACUGGAACUGAGACACGGUCCAGACUCCUACGGGAGGCAGCAGUGGGGAAUAUUGGACAAUGGGCGCAAGCCUGAUCCAGCCAUACCGCGUGGGUGAAGAAGGCCUUCGGGUUGUAAAGCCCUUUUGUUGGGAAAGAAAAGCAGCAGGUUAAUACCCCGCUGUUCUGACGGUACCCAAAGAAUAAGCACCGGCUAACUUCGUG